rnacentral:rRNA from 1 species
AUUGAACGCUGGCGGCAGGCCUAACACAUGCAAGUCGAGCGGCAGCGGGAAAGUAGCUUGCUACUUUUGCCGGCGAGCGGCGGACGGGUGAGUAAUGCCUGGGAAAUUGCCCAGUCGAGGGGGAUAACAGUUGGAAACGACUGCUAAUACCGCAUACGCCCUACGGGGGAAAGCAGGGGACCUUCGGGCCUUGCGCGGUUGGAUAUGCCCAGGUGGGAUUAGCUAGUUGGUGAGGUAAUGGCUCACCAAGGCGACGAUCCCUAGCCUGGUCUGAGAGGAUGAUCAGCCACACUGGAACUGAGACACGGUCCAGACUCCUACGGGAGGCAGCAGUGGGGAAUAUUGCACAAUGGGGGAAACCCUGAUGCAGCCAUGCCGCGUGUGUGAAGAAGGCCUUCGGGUUGUAAAGCACUUUCAGCGAGGAGGAAAGGUUGGUGCCUAAUACGUAUCAACUGUGACGUUACUCGCAGAAGAAGCACCGGCUAACUCCGUGCCAGCAGCCGCCGUAACAC